GCUCGGGUGGCGAAAUAGGUAGACGCAAGGGACUUAAAAUCCCUCGGUUGCAAAACCAUACGGGUUCGACUCCCGUCCCGAGCACCA
rnacentral:tRNA from 1 species